rnacentral:rRNA from 1 species
UACGUAGGGGGCAAGCGUUGUCCGGAUUUAUUGGGCGUAAAGCGCGUGUAGGCGGCCACACAGGUCCGCUGUGAAAACUCGAGGCUCAACCUCGAGCUGUCGGUGGAAACCGUGUGGCUAGAGUCCGGAAGAGGAGACUGGAAUUCCCGGUGUAGCGGUGGAAUGCGCAGAUAUCAGGAGGAACACCGGUGGCGAAGGCGGCCCCCUGGACCGGAACUGACGCUGAGGCGCGAAAGCGUGGGUAGCAAACGGG